CAGCAUGGCCACUCGCAGCUUUCGUGGCCUAUCAGUUACGGUUAAAGAUAUUAUGCUGGGAUUUUUAUUUUGCGUGAGAGGCCAAUAGGACAGUUGGAUGGGGUAGGCUAGGUCGUUGUUUUUUACAGUUGGAUUACAGAGUGAAUUGCUGUUAUGAGAGAAUGGAAUUUAGCUUUCACCUGCUACAUUCUGACAGUGCUAACAGUUUCGGAGCGGUUGUCCGUUGUCGCUACCUGCCAUCUGCAUUGAAGUUUAUCUCUCAAAAUUAAUUGUCGAGGAAUUUCCAAAGCUGAAGUUGAAGAGGGAACAACCGGAUAUGGCCAUUAUUAUGAUCCUCUUCGUGGUUCCGGCUUUAUAGAAAACAAGCUCAAAACUUUACGAAAACAAAUGGAAAUAGAAGAUAAGAUGUAUAAAAAACAAAAGAGAAGCCACUCAACAUAUGCAAGUAGUUCCAGUUUUGGGAGUAGCGAA